UUAUACACAGGUCUGGGUUUACCAACCUCUGGCCUGCCAUAAAAUACAACAUUUGGUGAAGGUUGGUUUGGCUACAAUAUGAAAAAAGAAAGCCUCCUAUCUGAUACAUGGAAAACCAACUAUAAAUAUUUAUGGCAUCCACCUCUCAAAACAUCUCCUUCAACUGAUUUGGAUUCUUCUUUCACUCCUCAAAAUCUACGUCAUCUGCCAAAAUUCUCCUCCAGCAUAGGCAGAUUCCCAGAAGAAUCCUCUCCUGCCUCAACCUCAAGUUUCUCCAUCCUGUCUUCAAAAUUAUUUUGAUUUUCUGUUAUUGGUUGUUCAUGUUCCAGUUGUUAUGGUGCUGUAAUAUGUUCCUACUUUUAAUGUCCUUUUUACCUAUUCACAUCAAACAAGAAAGAGGAGGUAUUGGUGCGCUCUGGACUGUUUAUGGACAUUAUGAGUAUGCUGAUUGGCUGAUAUCAUCCAUGGCUUUGCCCUUAUUGGUUCUUUUGUUUUCUCUGUUGUUUCACAUGUUUUACGUUUACUAAUGUUAUCACUGUAUACUUUAAAAAGCUGUCAGAGCAGUAAAUUGAAAGUAAUGCAAAA